CGCAACCCAUCCAAAACCCUUUCCGCCGUCAAAAAACGCGAAGCCCUUCAUCUUCUUCAAACUCAACCGUCAAAACCCCACCACCAGCAAAUAAACCUAUCGCGCGUCACCACCAACAUCUCAAAGACCGACCACACCACUACCGCCGCUCACCUUCCUCAACAACCUUCACUCCGCCGCUGAAACCCACAAAACAACCUUCAUUGUUCCUCGCCGGUUUUAUCCUCUUUUGUUAACCUCGCAUCCGAGAUACCGCCAUCGUGUCGGUAACUUCGACUCAACAGAAGCUGAAGUUUCUGAUUUACUUACUGAUAUUUGGCUUCGAGUUUACUGCAGAAUUCUUCCAAACAACAAAUCAAAGUCCGCAUUUCUAUAAUUUCCAAGCCGUGUCCAAGGUCGGUUCUCACCAUUUCCGACGAUAGCAAAGGUUGACGCAGAUCUCGCCUUCGCCAUUCUCUAUCCGCAUUAAUCCUGGGAAUGUUAGCAUUAAUCCUGUUUCAAGGCGGAUUCGGUUUCCAUGGCAGCAUACUCCGGUAUUGUUUGGCCGAAGGAUACUUCUAGGAAUAUCUUAGUUUCUUCAUAGAAGUUGAAAAAAUCAAAGAAUUAUUAUUUUUUUUAUUUUAUUUAUUUAUUUUUAGUAUGUGAAAUUUCGUAACUGAUGGUGAAGUGGUGUGUACGUUGAGUUUUGCUAUGGCAUUCAUGUACCUUGGGUUCCUUUAUUCAUCAUAGGUUGUUAUUACAUUGUUUGAUUAAUAGUUUUCAUAAUAUGGGGUUGAAUUUUA